rnacentral:rRNA from 1 species
AUGUAUGACCAGUGGGCCGCUUCGUUGGUGGGGUCGCUAUAUGUUGGCUGGGUUCGUCCGCAUGAAGGAGAGCUCGACCUUGAUGAGGAAAGCAGCGGAGUUGGUGCAGCGGCGAAGGUCAGGGUCGGCCGUGGAGGGAGGCUUGAUGGCCGAAGCAGCAGGAGCAAGAAGGUUGAGGUGGUUCAGAAACUGAAUGCAUAUAAGAAUCGAGGACCUUCACAGUGGAUUCAUGAUGAUGGUCAUCUACCGAGGCAUCAAGAUGAGCACAUCAUCUUGGACAAGCAGAUGCUAAUUUCUUCUCGGGAUAAGCUGGUCAAUGCAGGAAAAUCUGAAAGAAAGCGACUAAAAUCAACAUUUGAAGUUCAUCGAAAAAUGAAGAGGAUCGUGCCUUUCUGUUGGAAUUGCUUUUCUGGUUUAAGCAAUCAUUCAGAUGAGAGUAAUUAA